UUUCCGUAGGUGAACCUGCGGAAGGAUCAUUAUCGUACAAAAUGUGAGGGGCAUGCGAGGGCUGUCGCUGACCCAAAAGUCGUGCACGCACAAGUGUGUCCUCUUGCAUAAUAAUCCAACUCACCCUUUGUGCAUCACGGCGUGGGCACCCUUCGGGAUCAUCUCGGAGGGGGGCUCGCGUUCUCACACAAACCCCCCUUUUAAAAGUGUAGAAUGACCACAUAUAUGCAAUCAAUACAACUUUCAACAACGGAUCUCUUGGCUCUC
rnacentral:misc_RNA from 1 species